AUGAUUAUGUUGCUGAGAAAGCAUUAGAGGAUGCAAUGAAAGCCAACCUUGACCGUGUAGAAGCAAAUAAACUGGAUGGAAAGA
rnacentral:ribozyme from 1 species